rnacentral:rRNA from 1 species
AUUGAACGCUAGCGGGAUGCCUUACACAUGCAAGUCGAACGGAGUGGCGAACGGGUGAGUAAUGUAUCGGAACGUGCCCAGUAGCGGGGGAUAACUACGCGAAAGCGUAGCUAAUACCGCAUACUAUUGGAGCGGCCGAUAUCGUAUUAGCUAGUCUGUGGGGUAACGGCUCACCAAGGCGACGAUCCGUGGCCGGUUUGAGAGGACGACCAUCCACACGGGGACUGAGAAACGGCCCAGACUCCUCCGGGGGGCAGAGGUGGGGAAUUUUGGACAAUGGGGGAAACCCUGCUCCAGCCAGCCCGCGUGUGCGAGGAAGGCCUUCGGGUUGUAAAGCACUUUUGGCAGGAAAGCGGUACCUGCAGAAUAAGCACCGGCUAACUACGUGCCAGCAGCCGCGGUAAUUC